AUACGUAGGGGGCAAGCGUUGUCCGGAUUCAUUGGGCGUAAAGAGCUCGUAGGCGGUUCAGUAAGUCAGGUGUUAAAGCUCCGAGCUCAACUCGGAGAGGCCAUCUGAUACUGCUGUGACUAGAAUCCAGUAGGGGAGCGUGGAAUUCCUGGUGUAGCGGUGAAAUGCGCAGAUAUCAGGAGGAACACCAGCGGCGAAGGCGGCGCUCUGGGCUGAGAUUGACGCUGAGGAGCGAAAGUGUGGGUAGCAAACAGGAUUAGAUACCCUGGUAGUCCACACCGUAAACGUUGGGCACUAGGUGUGGGGAGGAAUCAACCCUUUCCGUGCCGUAGCUAACGCAUUAAGUGCCCCGCCUGGGGAGUACGGCCGCAAGGCUAAA
rnacentral:rRNA from 1 species